UACGUAGGUCCCGAGCGUUGUCCGGAUUUAUUGGGCGUAAAGCGAGCGCAGGCGGUUCCGUAAGUCUGAAGUAAAAGGCUGUGGCUUAACCAUAGUAUGCUUUGGAAACUGCGGAACUUGAGUGCAGAAGGGGAGAGUGGAAUUCCAUGUGUAGCGGUGAAAUGCGUAGAUAUAUGGAGGAACACCGGUGGCGAAAGCGGCUCUCUGGUCUGUAACUGACGCUGAGGCUCGAAAGCGUGGGUAGCGAA
rnacentral:rRNA from 1 species